GUAUUUUCUUUUGAGGGGCAGUAAAUAAGAGUCUUUUAUGUUGACAAUGAUAAUAUUAUAUUCUACAAUCUAUUUGCAUUUCUCUUUCUGUGGAUUUUAUUGCUUGGUAUAAAUCCCCAGUAUGAGGCACAUUAAAUUUCACAUAGGGCUGGACAGCUAUGUGUACAAGAUGCUACCUGUAGGAAUUGGGUUUUUCCCAGAUAUGAAGGGGGAAUACACAGAAAGGAAGAAAUGCGUAUGUGCAUGCAGGUUUGGGCACAUGCAUAUGAAACCUGGAGGGAUUCUCUUUGGAUCCACAGUCCAAAUGGACUUCCAAGAAGGAGCUGGUAUGACCACAUGCUUCUUCCAUUGUGCCACAUGCAGCCCAUCUUGAUCAGCCAGGUUCUCAGGAGACUGAUCAGCACCUGCUGUAGCUCUGGCCAAAGCUGUUUUUGGGACCAUGUGAAGGACAGAAAACUAAAAUGUGGGCACAAAAGCAUCUAAGACUUGCAGCAGAGUUGAGUCUCCUACCACUUUCUGUGAGUCUGCUGAAUACUUUUCAGUAUGGGAGCAUCCUUUCCAACACACAAGUCAGGAACUGCUGAGAUACAUCACGGUGCAAGCUUGAUCCAAAAUUGAUGUUAACCAUUGACUGUCAACUGAAGACUUCUAUGUGCCACUCACUGUGCUAAGCACCAUCUCAUUUAAUCCUCACAACAGUCCUUCAAGGAACUUCAAAACCAGGAAAAUUCCAGAAUGUUCCUCCCAUCUUUCUGAUCCUUUGUACUUUGAUGUAUAAGGCUCAUCCCAUACACCUGCAACAUAGCAGCUGCAGCUCACAGCAUUAUAAACAUCAAAAUCAAUGUCUACCAAAAGAAGGAUGUUUAUUUCCAUGAAUAGCUCAUAUACCCAUGUGCAAGGAAGGCUAUGAAAGACUAUGUCCACUGUUUUCAGGCUCUGUGAAGGGAAAUGGGGUCUGUCUACAAGGAAGAAGUCUUUUGGGUGGCAGGAGAGUGGCACUUGUCAUAACUGUCAAAGAAGAGCCUAUUGCCCUACUAACAGAUAGCUGUCUGUCAUGUGGAACAUGGAAAAAUGAAGCCCAGGGAAAUUCCUGAUGUAUUUUCUUCUCCAAUCACCCCACUUUUCCCUCAUCUUAUAUUGGCCACUUCAUCCUGUUCCCCACACCUUGUCAGGAUCUCUUACUACAAAGAUAAAUUGCACCAGGCAUCCAUAAUCUUCCAGCACCUGAUCUUCACAAUAAUCUCCAUUUUACAGUUUGGGAAGCUGAGACUUAGAGAAGUAAAGGGAUUUUCCCAAGGUCCCACAGAUGGGAGAGGGGAAACUGGGUUGGAACUCUGUUCUCCAUGACUCUAGAGUCUGCCUUCUUAGAAACCAUUGUUAAAUUGUCCUGACUUAAAGAAUCUGGGCUCUGACUCCAGAUCCUGUGAGCUGGAGCCUUAAUUUUCAUUUGGCUAGUAGCUCGCUGGCCCAAGACCAAACAGGCAUUGAUUGCUCCUCUUUCUUACCUUGCUUAACCUCAAAUGACCCUUUAUUUAGCCUGUCUCUGGCUGGCUCCUUUGCUCCUACUACUCACUUUCUUGGUUUGUGUAUGUGGAUGGGAAGGGGAAUAAAGGGGAAUAAUAUCUAUCUGCCACCUCCUGGAGUGCCUCUCUGUAGGUAACUCAGAUAUAAAAUUACCCUGAGCCCCUGCUCUGCCCCUGGCAAGCCUCAGAAGGAGCAUGGGCAAUCAGAUCUGAUCUUGGAAUCACUGAUGUGGAAAAGCCAGGGGAACAAAUCUUGUUGGCUCUGGGCAGGUGCAGCUGUCACUGUCUCCAGCCCCAAGUUCUGGCUGGCUGGCCCCCUUCCUGGGAGUCAGGCCCAGGUAGGGGAGGGUCAGGGUGCUGCAGAAGAGAAAGGGAGCUGGGUACUUUGUGUGCUUUAACAUAGCCAUGGCCAUGCUGGUCCCAGUAGCCUCUCUGCUAGAACAAACCUGUUCCUCACCCUGGAAAGAAAACCCCUGGACAGGUGAGAUUCCACCUGUCAAAUAAACACACUUACGACUGUUGUUCAUUCUUCCACAAAUAAAGGCCAUCAAACAUUCUUAAUCUCCGGGGCCAGGCUUUUUGGGCAGUGACUCUCCUUCCUAUAGGCACUUCCCAUAGUCCUGACUCAGAAGUGACCUCUCAGGCACUUAAAUAGUAAUCUGCUCCAUCUUGUCUAUGUCCUGUGCCAGUUUGCACAUCCCCUUCUCUGGAUCUAAAAUGUCCCUACAGGAAGAAUACUCAUCUUGCUCUUAUAAUGGAGAAACCACUUGAGGGCAGAAGAUGUUCACCCUACAAACAUUUCAGGAGCCUGCAGUGGACUCAGGCUGAUUUUCUGAGCUUAAAAACUGCACCUGCCUGUCCAUCCAUCCAUUCAUCCAUCCAUCCAUCCAUCCAACCAGCUAAGUGCACGUCCUGUGCCAGACACUGAGAAUCCAGGAACUGAGGAAUUCAGGAACUGUCUCUCUUUAUGCAGAGCUUGCUGAGUAGUGAAGGACACUGAAAGGUCGGCCCAUCAUUGCGGGGCAGGGAGCUAAGGAUGUAGAUGGAGGCCCAUUCAUAUCUUACUCAGAACUUCGAGCGACUUAGCCCUGCCGUCACUUCAACUCUUUCCGGAGCAGAAAACCCUCUCAGGAAACACCCAAAGCAGGGAUUAACUAGAUUAAUAUUUUGGAAAGAUCGUGCUGUACUUGUGAAGGACCACUUUAAGGAAGCUGAAUAGUGAAGUUUCAUCAUGGCAGCUGUGGUGCUGGAUGUCUGGUUCAAGUCUCAGGCCUCCCGGUUAGUAGCUGUCUGAUCUUGGGCAAGUUACUUAGCCACUUUGUACCUUCAGUUAAAGCAGGUAGUGCAAGUCCUGGUGCAUAGGAGAUCAGCAUUUGAUUAAAGGUGACCAUUCUCUAAGUUUAUCCACUAAUCAGUUCGGGUGGCCACACCCUGUGAGUGUGACGGGGCUUUCAGUUGUCAUUAUAGGGC
rnacentral:lncRNA from 1 species